GGUUGUGAUUCUUCCCAUCGACCAAUUCCUGCUCAACAUUUACUAAAGAUUCUCGGUGAGCUGAAAGUGAUCACCGAGCUCCUGGCAAGCUGGGACGAUUCCCAGCUGCUGCAGUUGACGGACUUCUACCGGGACAGGCUGGAGCAGGCGAUGGAAGGAGGGGUGCACGGAGUGAGCCUGGCGUUAACGGCCGAGAAUCAGUUCAGCGGAGAGGAACAUCGGAAAAUCUCUGAUCUCGCUGAUAAGGGAGAGCGGGCGGACAGUUCUAAACUCCUCCUGAGCCUGGUGAUGGAGAAAGGCUCCCGCGCCCGGAGGGUGAUGUGGGAAACCUUUGUGAAAAUGCGGAUUGCUGUCCCAAAGUUGGA